ACGGCAUUCAGAGGUGAGUUUGACCAAAGCAACGCUCAACUGCAGGUAAAAGCAUUAAAAUGUGAGUUUAACAACGCUCCAAGGCGCGUGCAAGUAAGCAGUUUAAGCGUUUUAUUACAACCCAUUCUCACUCCUAAAGCGCCAAAAACUGACGCCUCUAGCGUCACUAUGAAGACGCCAAAGGCGCCCCUCGGCGUCGCUAUAUCGACGCACUAGGACCUACAUUGCUUUAAGUGGGAAACUUUUGGCGUCAGUACUCAGACGCGAAGGGCAUGAGAUGUUUAUCGCUAUGAAAUCACGUUCAAGAAGUCUCAUUCAGCGCACAUCGCGAUAUUUGCCAUCAGUUUACAUGUGCCACAGGUUGGCUGAAAAGACAUGAAGGAAGCAGUCAGCCCAGUCGUGUUUGUGGAGAGGUAUUCCUUCAGAAAUGGAGAAGAUAGAAAGCUGCGGAGGCAGACAUUUGCAGCAGAUUGUUUGCAGAUAACGCUGUACUCCAUCAUGCACAAGGACUCACCUCUUUAACUCUUUAUCCCCCCCACACACAGAAAUGGUCCCUGGAUCAGUGUUUAGACUUUGCAGUGGUUUGAUUUUUGCAGAAAAUGCAACUUUGUUUUAAUUAUAAGCUUAUAAUGAAUACAUUUUGACCUUCCAGCAGCCCAUAUACUGUAUACAGAACCAGUGAUGAA